CUUUAGAGUAGAAUUUAAGGUUUGGCCUGCCCACUGAUUAAUUAAAUGGCCGCAGUAAUUUGACUGUGCAAAGGUAGCAUAAUCAYUAGUUUUUUAAUUAAAAGCUUGUAUGAAUGGUUGGACGAAAUAAUAACUGUCUUUGAGUAAUAAAUAGAAUUUAAUUUUUAAGUUAAAAAGCUUAGAUAAYUAUAAAAGACGAGAAGACCCUAUAGAUCUUUAUAAUAUUUUAUUUAUAUAUUUAAUUAAGAUUAUUUUAUWGUUUAUAUAAAAUAUUAUUUUAUUGGGGUAAUAAAAAGAUUAUAUUAAUUCUUUAUAAUUUGCAUAUAAAUUAAUAGAUUUUUGAUCCUUUAUUAAAGAUUUUAAGAUUAAGUUACCUUAGGGAUAACAGCGUAAUUUUYUUAAAGAGUUCAUAUCGAUAAGAAAGUUUGCGACCUCGAUGUUGGAUUAAAAAUUAUUCUAGGUGAAGUAGUUUAGAAUUUUGGUCUGUUCGACCAUUGAAUUUUUACAUGAUCUGAGUUCAGACCGGCGUAAGCCAGGUCGGUUUCUAUCUUUAUUGAGUUAAUAUAUUUUAGUACGAAAGGACCAAAUAUAAAGUAUAUGAGAUAUUUUUUAUUUUUGAGUUAUA
rnacentral:rRNA from 1 species